AGUGAACGCUGGCGGCGUGCCUAAUACAUGCAAGUCGAACGAAGUGGCGCACGGGUGAGUAAUAUAUAGUUAAUCUGCCCUACACAGAGGAACAACAGUUGGAAACGACUGCUAAUACCUCAUAGUGUAGGAUGAGACUAUAUCGUAUCAGCUAGUUGGUAAGGUAAUGGCGUACCAAGGCUAUGACGCGUAACUGGUCUGAGAGGAUGAUCAGUCACAUUGGAACUGAGACACCGUCCAAACUCCUUCGGGAGGCAGCAGUAAGGAGUAUUGCGCAAUGGGGGAAACCCUGACGACGCACCGCCGCGUGGAGGCUGACACUUUUCGGAGCGAAAACUCCUUCUAUCAGGAAAGCGGUACCUGCCGAAUCAGCGCCGGCUAACUCCGUGCCAGCCGCCGCGGUAAUAC
rnacentral:rRNA from 1 species